rnacentral:rRNA from 1 species
GGGAUCAACAUCCCCGACGGCAAGUUCUACCUUGGAGAUGCUGGCUAUGCAUGUCGGCCGGGUAUUCUUCCACCCUUCAGGAAAACAAGGUACCAUUUCAACGAGUUCUCUGGUAGGAACUUUCCUAGGACUGCACAGGAGCUGUUUAAUCUCAGACACUCCAGCCUUAGAGUAACUGUUGAGAGGGCAUUUGGAGCUCUGAAGAAUAGGUUUAAGAUCCUGGAUCAGAAGCCAUUCCACCCAUACUCCACUCAAAUUAAGCUAGUUCUUGCUUGUUGCAUUCUGCAUAACUUGAUCCUCCAGUGAGGCUUUGAUGAACAUGUGCCUGAGGAGGAAGAGGUCGAGCCUGACGAUGUUGUUAGCUCUGGCCAUGGUGUGGAGGCAUUUGACAAUGACGCUUGGAAGAACAAAAGGUUGGAGUGGGCAGAGACAAUGUGGCUUAACAGAGGUCAGUGCAGGAUUUGA